rnacentral:rRNA from 1 species
AUUGAACGCUGGCGGAAGGCCUAACACAUGCAAGUCGAACGAGUGGCGGACGGGUGAGUAAUGUCUGGGAAACUGCCUGAUGGAGGGGGAUAACUACUGGAAACGGUAGCUAAUACCGCAUACUAUAGGAUGCGCCCAGAUGGGAUUAGCUAGUAGGGGGGGUAAAGGCUCACAUAGGCGACGAUCCCUAGCUGGUCUGAGAGGAUGACCAGCAAAACUGGAACUGAGACACGGUCCAGACUCCUACGGGAGGCAGCAGUGGGGAAUAUUGCACAAGGGGCGCAAGCCGGAUGCAGCCAUGCCGCGGGUAUGAAGAAGGCCUUAGGGUUGUAAAGUACUUUCAGCGGGGAGGCGUUACCCGCAGAAGAAGCACCGGCUAACUCCGUGCCAGCAGCCGCGGUAAUAC